AGUGUGGGUAGAGGAAGUGACCGUGGAUGUAGACACAAAUCAGCAAGAAUUGUUCUGGUUCAAGAAAAGACACUCCAGCAGCCUGAAUAUUUGCUGACACAGCAGGUCUGUACCGGUCCCGUGUUUGAAGGAUAGUCUGUCUGACCACCGGGCCACCAACAACCACACCAGCAUCAGCAGGAUGACAGAACACAAGCUGAAUCAAAUCUGUCUCCACAUGACUCCCCGUAACCGCUCGUACUGUACCAUUACACAAACCUCAUAAUCGUUCUGAUUUAUGACCCUCAUGUGACACUGUAGAGUUUGGCAGGUGGCCUACGCUGCUCCAUCUUCAGCUUCCACCACAGAAAACACAAAGGCGUGCAUUUAGAUAUCCCUGGGGUCUCAGGUCAGAGGGGACGUUAAUGUAGCUGAGAGGACAUGAAAAGCAUUGAAGCCACAGACAGUAAGAUUAAUCCAACCACUCCAAAAUGACGCUUCGCCCGGAGGGAAAGGAAGGAUUAUGGCAAAAAAUAAAGUCAGUCUUUCCACCA